rnacentral:rRNA from 1 species
UACAGAGGGUGCAAGCGUUGUUCGGAAUUAUUGGGCGUAAAGGGCGCGUAGGCGGCGACUCAAGUUAGAUGUGAAAGUCCUGGGCUUAACCUGGGGACUGCAUUUGAUACUGGGUUGCUUGAAUUCGGGAGAGGAUAGCGGAAUUCCCAGUGUAGAGGUGAAAUUCGUAGAUAUUGGGAAGAACACCGGUGGCGAAGGCGGCUAUCUGGACCGACAUUGACGCUGAGGCGCGAAAGCCAGGGGAGCAAACGGG